GACGAACGCUGGCGGCGUGCCUAAUACAUGCAAGUCGAACGCAGUGGGGACGGGUGAGUAACACGUGGGUAACCUCCCAUCAGAGGGGAUAACACUUGGAAACAGGUGCUAAACCGAUACUGAUGGAUGGACCCGCGGUGCAUUAGCUAGUGGGUGAGGUAACGGCUCACCUAGGCUACGAUGCCUAGCCGGUCUGAGAGGAUGAUCAGCCACACUGGGACUGAGACACGGCCCAGACUCCUACGGGAGGCAGCAGUGGGGAAUAUUGGGCAAUGGGCGCAAGCCUGACGCAGCCACGCCGCGUGUGUGAAGAAGGCUUUCGGGUCGUAAAGCACUUUUGGUAGAGAGGCGUUACCUACAGAAAAAGCACCGGCUAACUACGUGCCAGCAGCCGCGGUAAUAC
rnacentral:rRNA from 1 species